GAGGGAGAGGAGAAAAGACAGCUCUACGACGUGCUCUUUUGGAAACAGAACGGAGUGCUGUGCUGCCUCUCUCUUUUUCCUCCGUUAUCUCUCUCUCGCUCUCUCUCUCUCUCUCCCCCUCGUCUUCUCCUCCUCCUCUUCAAGCCUCCCUUCCUCAGUUGUAACCGUGCGGUUGCCAAGAGAGCUGUAGUACAGUAGCGACUGUAACUAGGUACGAGCUCCGGGACAUUUCUCCCGGUCUCAAGAGCCUGAAUGUCGACCAGCGGCUCCAGCUCCUCAUCACGGAAGGACUUCGAUGUGAAGCAAAUCCUCCGAAGCCGAUGGAGGUGGUUCGGUCACCCGGCUGUUCCCCCGCCAGGAGACUUCUUUACCGGGAGAGGAGCGGGGGCCAGCCCCGGAGAGUACCACAGCCCCUCUGUUAGUGGCUGUUCUACCGGUAACGGAAUCGUUAACGGCGCCGGUACAGGAAAUAACUGCUUAGUAGCAGUUGGAACUAGUGGUAACGGCAGUUGUAGUGGAAAUAAUUCAUGCAACGCCAACAACAGAAAGUUUAUGGAUAAUUCUGUUGGGAGUCCCACUGAUAACCUCCCGGUAACACCGUUUGUAGCCGCGGCAGCUGAACAUUCCUCUUGUCCGCGGUCAUUCAACCAACCGGAGUGGGUCGACCCGUUGUCUUUCUCUCACUCUCGGCCGGUAACAGACACAGAGCGCCCCGGGGAGGGCUCAUCGCUUCUCCAACCGCCGGUACCGGAGGCGGGUGUUCCCGCGGCUGAAGAGGAGACGGGACUGACGGGAGCCGAGAGUAAUAACAACCACGACGACAAUGCCUCCAGCUCCUGCAGGACUUCCAACAGCAGUGCGACGCUGUCCUCAUGCGUGUCGAUGGAACCGUGCGUGUCCUCCGACGAGUGUGUGUACACGGCUCACACACACGCAGACCUGAUCUCCAGCAAGAUGGAGACCUACCUCCGGACCAAGCAGCUGUGUGACGUCACUCUGGUGUCAGGGGACAGGAGGAUACCUGCUCACAGACUGGUCCUGUCGUCGGUGUCAGACUACUUUGCGGCCAUGUUCACCAGUGAUGUCAGAGAGGCCAAACAGGAAGAGGUUAAGAUGGAGGGGGUGGACCCUGAUGCAUUGUGGGUGCUGGUGCAAUACGCUUACACAGGUCGUGUGGAGUUGAGAGAGGACACUAUAGAGUGUAUAUUGUCAGUAUCGUGUCUCCUCCAGCUGCAGCCGGUGGUCCAGGCCUGCUGUAACUUCCUCAUCAAACAGCUCCACCCUUCUAACUGUCUGGGGAUACGGGCUACGCCGACACACAGAGCUGCUCACAGCUCCACCACGCUGCUCACAGCUUCACCAUGGAGAACUUUGUGGAGGUGGUGGAAGGUCAGGAAUUUCUCCUCCUCCCGCUAGAAGAGAUGGACAGAUUGUUGUCGUCCGACGAUAUGAAUGUUCCAGACGAGGAAACCGUGGUUACGGCGUUGCUAAGCUGGGUCCGCCAUGACGUCUCCACCCGGCAAUCACACCUGCCCUCGCUCCUCGCUCACAUACGACUACCUUUACUGGAAGCACAGUUCCUAGCAGACCUGGAGUGUAACCCUCUGCUCCGAGACAGUGUGGAGUGUCAGAGGCUUUUAAUGGAAGGUAGGCCUCGUCCCAAAUCUGUCUUCCCUACUGCUGAAGGCCUCGUCCCAAAUCUGUCUUCCCUACAGCUGAAGGCCUCGUCCCAAAUCUGUCUUCCCUACAGCCAGGCCUCGUCCUAAUCUGUCUUCCCUACAGCCAGGCCUCGUCCCUAAUCUGUCUUCCCUACAGCCAGGCCUCGUCCCUAAUCUGUCUUCCCUACAGCCAGGCCUCGUCCCUAAUCUGUCUUCCCUACAGCCAGGCCUCGUCCCUAAUCUGUCUUCCCUACUGCUGAAGGCCUCGUCCCUAAUCUGUCUUCCCUACAGCCAGGCCUCGUCCCUAAUCUGUCUUCCCUACAGCCAGGCCUCGUCCCUAAUCUGUCUUCCCUACUGCUGAAGGCCUCGUCCCAAAUCUGUCUUCCCUACAGCCAGGCCUCGUCCCUAAUCUGUCUUCCCUACAGCCAGGCCUCGUCCCUAAUCUGUCUUCCCUACUGCUGAAGGCCUCGUCCCAAAUCUGUCUUCCCUACUGCUGAAGGCCUCGUCCCUAAUCUGUCUUCCCUACUGCUGAAGGCCUCGUCCUAAUCUGUCUUCCCUACUGCUGAAGGCCUCGUUCCUAAUCUGUCUUCCCUACUGCUGAAGGCCUCGUCCCUAA